GACGAACGCUGGCGGCGUGCCUAAUACAUGCAAGUAGAACGCUGAUGAGAGGAGCUUACUCUUCUUGGAUGAGUUGCGAACGGGUGAGUAACGCGUAGGUAACCUGCCUUGUAGCGGGGGAUAACUAUUGGAAACGAUAGCUAAUACCGCAUAACAAUGGAUGACACAUGUCAUUUAUUUGAAAGGGGCAAUUGCUCCACUACAAGAUGGACCUGCGUUGUAUUAGCUAGUAGGUGAGGUAAUGGCUCACCUAGGCGACGAUACAUAGCCGACCUGAGAGGGUGAUCGGCCACACUGGGACUGAGACACGGCCCAGACUCCUACGGGAGGCAGCAGUAGGGAAUCUUCGGCAAUGGGGGCAACCCUGACCGAGCAACGCCGCGUGAGUGAAGAAGGUUUUCGGAUCGUAAAGCUCUGUUGUAAGUCAAGAACGGGUGUGAGAGUGGAAAGUUCACACUGUGACGGUAGCUUACCAGAAAGGGACGGCUAACUACGUG
rnacentral:rRNA from 1 species